rnacentral:rRNA from 1 species
UACGUAGGGUGCGAGCGUUGUCCGGAAUUACUGGGCGUAAAGAGCUCGUAGGUGGUUUGUCGCGUUGUUCGUGAAAACUCACAGCUCAACUGUGGGCGUGCGGGCGAUACGGGCAGACUGGAGUACUGCAGGGGAGACUGGAAUUCCUGGUGUAGCGGUGGAAUGCGCAGAUAUCAGGAGGAACACCAAUGGCGAAGGCAGCUCGCUGGAACGGUACUGACGCUGGAGGCGCGAAAAGCCGUGGGGGAGCGAAACAGG